rnacentral:rRNA from 1 species
UAAUACGUAGGAGGCUAGCGUUAUCCGGAUUUACUGGGCGUAAAGAGGGCGUAGGCGGCUUUUCAAGUCGGAUGUAAAAUCUCCCGGCUUAACUAGGAGGGAUAAUCCGAUACUGUUGGGCUAGAGGGCAGCAGAGGGAGGUGGAAUUCCCGGUGUAGUGGUGAAAUGCAUAGAUAUCGGGAGGAACACCAGUGGCGAAGGCGGCCUCCUGGGCUGUUUCUGACGCUGAGGCCCGAAAGCGUGGGGAGCGAACAGAAUUAGAUACUCUGGUAGUCCACGCCGUAAACGAUGGACACUAGGUAUGGGGAGUAUCGACCCUCUCCGUGCCGAAGCUAACGCAUUAAGUGUCCCGCCUGGGGAGUACGGUCGCAAGACUA